rnacentral:rRNA from 1 species
GAUGAACGCUAGCGGCAGGCUUAAUACAUGCAAGUCGAGGGGUAGCAAGAUUGUAGCAAUACAAUUGUUGACGACCGGCAAACGGGUGCGGAACACGUACACAACCUUCCUACAAGUGGGGAAUAGCCCAGAGAAAUUUGGAUUAAUACCCCGUAACAUAGCGAUGUGGCAUCACAUUGCUAUUAUAGCUUCGGCGCUUGUUGAUGGGUGUGCGGCUGAUUAGAUAGUUGGCGGGGUAACGGCCCACCAAGUCUACGAUCAGUAGCUGAUGUGAGAGCAUGAUCAGCCACACGGGAACUGAGACACGGGCCCGACUCCUACGGGAGGCAGCAGUAAGGAAUAUUGGACAAUGGACGCAAGUCUGAUCCAGCCAUGCCGCGUGAAGGAUUAAGGUCCUCUGGAUUGUAAACUUCUUUUAUAAGGGACGAAAAAAGGUCUUUCUAGAUCGUCUGACGGUACCUUAUGAAUAAGCACCGGCUAACUCCGUGCCAGCAGCCGCCGUAAUAC